rnacentral:rRNA from 1 species
CUAUGAAGCUUUAGACACAAGGUAGCCCCCUGUUAAACAACUCUUGAUAAAGAACUAAACUUGGCUAAUUCUACCCUAAUGUCUUUGGUUGGGGCGACCGCGGGGUAAAAAGUAACCCCCACGUGGAACGGGAAUAUAACAUUUCCUCGAGUCCUGACGUACCGCUCUUGGCAGCAGAAUUUCUGACCAUAUGAUCGCAACGCCGAUCAGCGAACUAAGUUACUCUAGGGAUAACAGCGCAAUCCCCUUAUAGAGGCCGCAUCAUUAAGGGGGUUUACGACCUCGAUGUUGGAUCAGGACAUCCCAGUAGUGCAGCCGCUAUUAAGGGUU